CAGUCGCCGCGGUAAUACAGAGGGUGCGAGCGUUAAUCGGAUUUACUGGGCGUAAAGCGUGCGUAGGCGGCUUCUUAAGUCGGAUGUGAAAUCCCCGAGCUUAACUUGGGAAUUGCAUUCGAUACUGGUUAGCUAGAGUGUGGGAGAGGAUGGUAGAAUUCCAGGUGUAGCGGUGAAAUGCGUAGAGAUCUGGAGGAAUACCGAUGGCGAAGGCAGCCAUCUGGCCUAACACUGACGCUGAGGUACGAAAGCAUGGGGAGCAAACAGGAUUAGAUACCCCUGUAGUCCCUGUCUCUUAUAC
rnacentral:rRNA from 1 species